AUGGCAAGCUUCAACCACGCCAACGACACCGGCUCACCCCCGGCUGCGGCUGCUACGCCUACGCUCGGAGUUGGACCCCUUCCGCUAGACGCCGGCGAGUUCCGUCGUCAGGGACGUCAAGUUGUGGACUUCAUCGCGGACUACUACGACCGCAUUGACGAGUACCCUGUUCGCCCGACCGUCGCUCCCGGGUUCCUAGCCCGGCAGCUUCCCGACACGGCGCCGUCGUGGCCGGAGCCCGACGCGCUCGCCUCGGCGCUGCGCGACGUCCGCGAGCUCAUCCUUCCCGGCGUCACCCACUGGCAGAGCCCCCGUCAUUUCGCGCACUUCGCGGCGACGGCCAGCAAUGUGGGCGCGCUCGGCGAGGCCCUAGCCGCGGGCCUCAACAUCAACCCUUUCACCUGGGCCGCCUCGCCGGCGGCCACCGAGCUAGAGACCGUUGUUACAGAUUGGCUCGGGAAGGCGCUGCACCUCCCGGAGCAGCUGCUCUUCUGCGGUGGCGGCGGCGGCACGCUGCUGGGGACUUCGUGCGAGGCCAUGCUCUGCACCAUCGUCGCCGCGAGGGACCGGAAGCUCGCCGAACUAAGAGGCGACGAGAGGAUGGGCGACCUCGUCGUCUACUGCUCCGACCAGACCCACUUCUCGUUCAAGAAGGCCGCGCACGUCGCCGGCAUUCGCCGGGCGAACUGCCGGGUGAUACCGACGUGCCGCGAGAGCGGCUUCACGCUGUCGCCGGCGGCACUGCAGGCCGCCGUCUGCGCCGACGAGGCGGCGGGGAGGGUCCCUCUCUUCCUGUGCGCGACUGUGGGGACCACUCCGACGGCGGCGGUCGACCCUCUCCGGGAGCUGUGCGCCGCAGUGGCGGGGCACGGCGUGUGGGUGCACGUGGACGCGGCCUACGCCGGCGCCGCGUGCAUUUGCCCGGAGUUCAGCCACAUCGCCGCCGGCGCCGAGGCCGUGGACUCGUUCAGCACGAACCCGCACAAGUGGCUCCUGGCGAACAUGGACUGCUGCGCGCUGUGGGUGCGGCAUCCCACGGCGCUCGUGGCGGCGCUCGGCACCGACGAUGACGUGAUCCUCAAGGACGCGGCGGCAUCCGCCGUCGUGGACUACAAGGACUGGCAGGUGGCGCUGAGCCGCCGGUUCCGCGCGCUGAAGCUGUGGCUCGUGCUCCGCUGCCACGGCGUGGAGGGCCUCCGCGGCUUCGUGCGCGCCCACGUGCGCAUGGCCGCGGCCUUCGAGGCCAUGGUGCGCGCUGACCCGCGGUUCGAGGUGCCCGUGCCGGCGCGGUUCGGACUCGUCUGCUUCCGCCUCCGCCCCGCCACCGACGCCGCCGAUGACGGCACGGCCGAGGCCACGACGAACGAGCUCAACCGGAGGCUGCUGGAGGCGGUGAACGCGACGGGGCGCGCGUACAUGAGCUGCGCGGUGGUGGGCGGCAUGUACGUGCUGCGGUGCGCCAUCGGGAACUCGCUGACGGAGGAGCGGCACGUCCGGGAGGCGUGGAGCAUCGUGCAGGAGCAAGCCGACGCGGUGCUGACCCCGGCGGGCGCCGGCGUCGCUCCGGCUGCUCGUUCGAAGGGGCGUACGGUUGAGGAUGCCCGUCGCAUGGAGACCAGCGUGCAUGAGAAAUGGAGCUCACCGCCGCGCACUGCGUACCACGUGAUUCGUUCCUACGCGUUGGCUUUCGUACCACGCGUUGGCGUUCCGCGCAUCUUCCUGUCCAUGGACUAA
rnacentral:rRNA from 1 species